UGUUGACAUUAUAAUUCAUAGUGAAAAAACAUUACUCCUACUAUUUAUUUAUAUAGCGCAAAGUUACAGAGACGCACAUGGAAGCAGACUUGAUAUACUAAUCAUUAAACACACACACGCUGUAAUUUGUGGCGCGAUCAUAUCUUCCAUUUACAGAAUUUCCCCUACUCCGACCGAAUCAAACAUGAGCAUCUUCUCCAAGAAACCUACAGCCAAAGAGGCUCUUCGGGAGAGCAAGCGGGAGAUGGCCAAUGCAACCAGAGGUGUAGAGAGGGAAAUUCAGACGCUGCAAUCGGAGGAAAAGAAGCUUGUCACUGAGAUAAAAAGAACUGCUAAAACAGGGAAUGAGGCCGCUACCAAAAUUCUUGCACGUCAAUUGAUCAGGCUUCGGCAACAGAUAGCCAAAUUACAAGGUAGUCGAGCUCAGAUGAGAGGUAUAGCAACACAUACACAGGCAAUGUCUGCUCAAACGUCUGUUGCUGUUGGUAUGAAAGGUGCAAGUAAAGCUAUGGCUGCAAUGAAUAAGCAAAUGGCCCCUGCAAAGCAGAUGAAGGCCAUUCAGGAAUUCCAGAAGCAAUCGGCACAAAUGGAUAUGACUACCGAAAUGAUGUCAGAUGCCAUAGAUGACGCUCUUGAUGAUGAUGAGGCUGAAGAUGAAACUGAGGAGUUGACAAAUCAGGUGCUAGACGAAAUUGGUGUCGAUGUUGCCUCACAGUUAUCAGCUGCUCCAAAAGGAAAAAUUGCUGGAAGAAACACAGAGGAUGCUGGCAGUUCGCGCAUGGAUGAACUAGAAAAGAGGUUAGCAGCACUUCGGAAUCCAUAAAGUUGCACCAUAUUUUGAAUCUACCUUGUGUACAUCAUUCCCUCUUAAAUCUGACUGUGGUCUUCUUUCUGUCAAAGAAAGAGCUAAAGGAUAAGAGAUCAAUCAAGCUACCAUUUUCUGUUGCCAGUCUACAUUUUUUAUAUGCAUGAAAGCACUUCACAGAUUUCAACAUUUUGGCUAUGAAAAGCUUCUGGAGGUUGACUCAAGUUAUCUACUAAGAACUCACAUUUCAAAAUGAAAUAAAGGGUUCCAGAAAUUAAUUUGAAGUUCCAGCAAUGGCAUUGCCAGAGGGAUUCUGCAAGCAAAUGCACCAGUUUAUACAUUUAUACUCUAGAAAGCACAAAGUAAAGAAAAAAAAACUGCAACACUAACCCUUGUUUUGGAACUAGAACCAAUCUGAGGAUACUUCAAUAUGGUCCAAUCGAACACAUAGUCAAACUGGUAA